rnacentral:rRNA from 1 species
UACGGAGGGUGCAAGCGUUAUCCGGAUUCACUGGGUUUAAAGGGUGCGUAGGCGGGCAGGUAAGUCCGUGGUGAAAUCUCUGAGCUUAACUCAGAAACUGCCAUGGAUACUAUUUGUCUUGAAUAUUGUGGAGGUAAGCGGAAUAUGUCAUGUAGCGGUGAAAUGCUUAGAUAUGACAUAGAACACCAAUUGCGAAGGCAGCUUACUACACAGUUAUUGACGCUGAGCACGAAAGCGUGGGGAUCAACAGG